ACUUUUUACAAUAUUUUAACAGUCCUAAAACUUUUAAGAAGAUUUGAUAUUUGUUUUCUAUUGUAGUUUAGGACAGAAUGUUUUAAAUAUCAUGAGGUGGUUCAAUAUAUUCUUGUCAACAUAGCCAAUUAUUAAGAGGAAAGAGCAUGUAGAUCCACUGAGGCCCUGACAUUAGCUACCAUAAGAAACAUUUGCAUGUGUUGGAAAUAAUUUUCGGUAUCCCAAAUUUUAAAGAACUAUUUAAAUGUUAAUAAUGAAUUUCAAAUUUACUUUUUAGGAUAUGAAGAUGAGUCCUUUGGGAGAGGUUAUCUUGUGAGCUAACAGACCUCACAUAGCCAAACGGAUGGAAAUUUUGCUACUGACGUCAGCUUUUCCUAUCAUUCUGGGAAACAAAAUUGUUUUCUAUUCCAACAAUCAGCAGACUUGCUGAAGAUUCUUUUUUUGCCUGGCUGAUUAUGGACUACUCCCAUCAACAAGGAAGAAGGGGGAAAUAGCAAAUUAUGCUCCAUAUAUUGUUUGGAGA
rnacentral:lncRNA from 1 species